UUGUCCUUAGUUACCAGCACGUUAUGGUGGGCACUCUAAGGAGACUGCCGGUGACAAACCGGAGGGAAGUGGGGAUGACGUCAAGUCAUCAUGGCCCUUACGGCCUGGGCUACACACGUAGCUACAAUGGUCGGUACAAAGGGUUGCCAAGCCGCGAGGUGGAGCUAAUCCCAUAAAACCGAUCGUAGUCCGGAUCGCAGUCUGCAACUCGACUGCGUGAAGUCGGAAUCGCUAGUAAUCGUGAAUCAGAAUGUCACGGUGAAUACGUUCCCGGGCCUU
rnacentral:rRNA from 1 species